GUGCAGCCAAUUAAGCUGAUCUUGUUUUUUGCCCAGAAGACUGGUAUGCAGUGGCUGCAGUAAGCUGAGCUCAAAGCUUCCUUUGUAGUGUAGCAGCCUGUGACUUGUACAGGCUGUAAUAAGGGACCUUAAAGACAGUC